rnacentral:sRNA from 1 species
UCUAAAGCUAACUAGAGAAAGUUUUUCACCUCACCAAAAGGAAAGACUAGCUAAAUUCUUAAUUAUUAUCCCGCACCCUGCCAAAAGUCGAGCGUUAAGUUUCUUAUAAAUUAGAAGAAAGACGAGACCAUUCUUCUCAUAGCUUUUUUAGAAGGAAUACUGAUAGAGAGAAAGAAAAAUGGCAAGGCCACGACUGCUUGUAGUGUCGAUGUCGCUUCCGGUCACUGCAAAGAGGACUGGAGAAGAGUCUUGGUCUUUCACGAUGAGUCCUGGUGGUCUAGUUAGUGCUCUUCUAGGUAAGAGAAUGUACCAACUUUGGUAA